rnacentral:lncRNA from 1 species
GAAAAUCAUAACAAAACUAAGACAAAUAGGGAAAACCCUUUGUCUCUGAAAAUGGGGGAAGAGGUGAAAGGAGGAAGAGAGGAAGAGAAAAGGGGAGAGGGGGGAAGAACAAUGGCUUCCUCCCCCCUCAAAGUGGAAAAGGCUCUAAGAGUGUUUUUUGAGAGAAAGGGAGCUAAGUUUCCCGGACAAUAAUCAUGGAGUUUAUGUUAGUUUUUGUCUAAUUAAAAUUAAAAUUAGACAAGAUUCUGAAAACUACAUUUGUUAUAUAAUAAUGGAGGUAGAUGGAGCUAGGUCAUAUUCUUUAUGACUUUGGAUACCAAUGUCAUAUACAUUUUUCAGAUAAUAAUGGAGGUAGCUGGAGCUGGGUCUUCUUCUUUAUGGCUUUGGAUCCAUAUCUCAUUUACAUUUGUCAGAUAAUAAUAAAGGUAGUUGGAGCUGGGUCUUCUUCUUUAUGGCUUUGGAUCCAUAUUUCAUGUACAUUUAUCAGAUAAUAAUGAAAGUAGCUAGAGCUGCCAUGUUCAUUAUGGCUUUGGAUCUCUAUCUUAUUUGAUAAGAUUACAACGCACAUUGUAUUGUCCCUAUACAUAAGUUUGAAUUUGAGAUUUAAAUUUGAGAUUUUA